rnacentral:rRNA from 1 species
GACGAACGCUGGCGGCGUGCCUAAUACAUGCAAGUCGAACGCUUCUUUCCUCCCGAGUGCUUGCACUCAAUUGGAAAGAGGAGUGGCGGACGGGUGAGUAACACGUGGGUAACCUACCCAUCAGAGGGGGAUAACACUUGGAAACAGGUGCUAAUACCGCAUAACAGUUUAUGCCGCAUGGCAUAAGAGUGAAAGGCGCUUUCGGGUGUCGCUGAUGGAUGGACCCGCGGUGCAUUAGCUAGUUGGUGAGGUAACGGCUCACCAAGGCCACGAUGCAUAGCCGACCUGAGAGGGUGAUCGGCCACACUGGGACUGAGACACGGCCCAGACUCCUACGGGAGGCAGCAGUAGGGAAUCUUCGGCAAUGGACGAAAGUCUGACCGAGCAACGCCGCGUGAGUGAAGAAGGUUUUCGGAUCGUAAAACUCUGUUGUUAGAGAAGAACAAGGACGUUAGUAACUGAACGUCCCCUGACGGUAUCUAACCAGAAAGCCACGGUUAACUACGUG